GAUGAACGCUAGCGGCAGGCCUAACACAUGCAAGUCGAGGGGUAGGGGAGUGCUUGCAUUCCUUGAGACCGGCGCACGGGUGCGUAACGCGUAUGCAAUCUGCCUUAUACAGGGGAAUAGCCCAGGGAAACUUGGAUUAAUGCCCCAUGGUCUAUAUUUACGGCAUUGUUUAUAUAGUAAAGAUUUAUCGGUAUAAGAUGAGCAUGCGUACCAUUAGCUAGUUGGUGUGGUAACGGCACACCAAGGCUACGAUGGUUAGGGGCCCUGAGAGGGGGAUCCCCCACACUGGUACUGAGACACGGACCAGACUCCUACGGGAGGCAGCAGUGAGGAAUAUUGGACAAUGGGCGAGAGCCUGAUCCAGCCAUGCCGCGUGCAGGAAGACUGCCCUAUGGGUUGUAAACUGCUUUUACAGAGGAAGAAACACCCCCACGUGUGGGGGCUUGACGGUACUCUGCGAAUAAGGAUCGGCUAACUCCGUGCCAGCAGCCGCGGUAAUACGGAGGAUCCAAGCGUUAUCCGGAAUCAUUGGGUUUAAAGGGUCCGUAGGCGGGCGUCUAAGUCAGUGGUGAAAUUCUGCAGCUCAACUGUAGAACUGCCAUUGAUACUGGUCGUCUUGAAUCGUUGUGAAGUGGCUAGAAUAUGUAGUGUAGCGGUGAAAUGCUUAGAUAUUACAUAGAAUACCGAUUGCGAAGGCAGGUCACUAACAACGUAUUGACGCUGAUGGACGAAAGCGUGGGGAGCGAACAGG
rnacentral:rRNA from 1 species